rnacentral:snRNA from 1 species
UACACUUGAUCUUAGCCAA